UCAAGGAAAGAGGCUUCUGACAGUCGUCUUCACCCCAGAACCAGCGAGGUCUCUGGUCCCUGGGGCAGCUGAGCCUGCUGUUUGCCUGCAAAUGCUUUCCAAUUCUUCUGGCAACUCUAAGGUUUCCCAAGCACACAGAUGACCACUUCUGAUCUACGGCAUGUGCAGAGCAAAAUCUGAUUGCCACCAAGAGUCCUCAAGCCCCAAAGCCACAUCCUGGGAAAUCACGUCCCACGAGAAGCAUGCUGCACCACACUUCAUUUGGGGAAACCUGUUUAUGAGAAAAAUGUGCACGGCUGCUUCGGACUGACUUGUUUUGCCUCCCUUGAAGCAGAGGAAUUUCGCCUGUUAGCUAAGCAUUGCCAAGAGAGAUUUUGUAAUUGCAAUGAGAAUGUGGUGUUUGCGCUC